rnacentral:misc_RNA from 1 species
ACAGAUCAUCAAAUUAAAACACAUGUAAUGCAAGAAAGUGGGGGCUGAUGAGGGUUGAGGGAGAAAAGAGCUCUAAGAUAAGAUGGAGAGAUUCUCUUAAUAAAUCAUUUUAUAGGUUAUUUGUGUGGGAUAUGCUUUUAAUUAUGUUGAUUUUAUUGGAGUUAGAUGGAAAGAUCAGUAUAAGAUUGCUUAAAUUUCAAGGUUCUACUCUAAAAACGAUUUAAAGUA